UAUCACAGCCAGCUUUGAUGGGC
rnacentral:miRNA from 15 species